AUUGAGCGCUGGCGGCAGGCCUAACACAUGCAAGUCGAGCGGAUGAAGGGAGCUUGCUCCUGGAUUCAGCGGCGGACGGGUGAGUAAUGCCUAGGAAUCUGCCUGGUAGUGGGGGAUAACGUCCGGAAACGGGCGCUAAUACCGCAUACGUCCUGAGGGAGAAAGUGGGGGAGCUUCGGACCUCACGCUAUCAGAUGAGCCUAGGUCGGAUUAGCUAGUUGGUGGGGUAAAGGCCUACCAAGCCGACGAUCCGUAACUGGUCUGAGAGGAUGAUUAGUCACACUGGAAGUGAGACACGGUCCAGACUCCUACGGGAGGCAGCAGUGGGGAAUAUUGGACAAUGGUCGAGAGCCUGAUCCAGCCAUGCGGCGUGUGUGAAGAAGGUCUUCGGAUUGUAAAGCACUUUAAGUUGGGAGGAAGGGCAGUAAGUUAAUACCUUGCUGUUUUGACGUUACCAACAGAAUAAGCACCGGCUAACUUCGUG
rnacentral:rRNA from 1 species